rnacentral:rRNA from 1 species
UACGUAGGGGGGCUAGCGUUGUCCGGAAUCAUUGGGCGUAAAGAGCGUGUAGGCGGCCCGGUAAGUCCGCUGUAAAAGUCAAAGGCUCAACCUUUGAAUGUCAGUGGAUACUGCCGGGCUAGAGUCCGGAAGAGGCGAGUGGAAUUCCUGGUGUAGCGGUGAAAUGCGCAGAUAUCAGGAGGAACACCAAUUGCGAAGGCAGCUCGCUGGGACGUUACUGACGCUGAGACGCGAAAGCGUGGGGAGCAAACAGG